AGGCAGUUGAGAUUAAUCUACAGGAGGAGGAGAAGAAUCAUCCACACCACUCUUCGCCACCCGGCUGGGAGCAAUUCCAGAAGGCAGGGUCUGCUUGGGCAGUUGAGAGGCCUUGGGUCAUGCCGCUUAUUGAAACCAUCAGCAGGAGGAGUUUGGAUAAAGCUGAAGUUCCACUUAGGCGCUCGGUGAUCCAUCUGGGAAGACAGUGGCCACAGCCCAACAGGAGGCCGGGGAACCUGGACCCCACCAGCCAAGCUUUGAGAAGCAGAUAGGCUUGAAUGAGCAUGGAAUGUAUCUAUUUAAAAAGCAGCUGGAAGUCUGUCAAGUGCAUUCUGGAAAUGGAUUCAGGCUAACAGAGUGUUCUGAAUAGAGACGCCUAAAACAAGAGCCAAAGACAUAGCAAUGGAGAACGUGGGUGGUACAGCCCUCCACCCUGGCGAGCAGCACAUUAGAAUCACGUAGGAGCUUAAAAAGUACUGACUGGCCUGGUCUUUUUCGGUGUGAAGGUGGGAUGCAGGCUUCCUGGGGUUAUCCUCUCGUACAGCCAGAGUUGAGAACCAUCUGAGUAGCGCUUGUCACACUUCUGGCCACAUCAGAAUCGUCUGAGGGACUUGUUCACUGCAGGUUGCUGGGUCCCAUCUCUAGCCUCUGAUCCAGUAGCCUGGGGUGGGGCACAGGAUGUCCUGCUGCUGGGGUCUGGGCAGCGCUAUGAGAACUGCUGACGUUGGAGCUCGAUCAGGUGGUCCCUCACUCCCUGACCCAGGGCAUUUGCUGCUUCCUGUCUCUGCCAUUCUUUUCUCAACCUGGGGCACUUGCUUUUCUCGCUAUGCUGCCCUGCCCUUUGCUGAGGCCUGGGCUAUCCCUGGCAGGGUGCAGAAAAAAAAUUUUUAAGUUACUUUUCUCAGCCCAAAGGAGACUGGAAUGCUUCACAAGGGAUUCUACUUGACAGGCAAUUGGACCACCCAAAUGGCAAACUAAAAGCAUAGAAGCGGACACCAGAGGCUCCUGGACCUGAGAUGUGGCCCUGGAAGUGACCAGAUGUGGUCUCAAGAGAUGGGGGCCCAGGGCUAGGAAUGCCGCCAUCCGGGGAGGCCCUAGAGCAGAGCAGAGCAGCUGUGGGCUGGUGCCAAGCUCACUCCUGCUUCUCUCUGCACGUCUCCCUCAUUCUUUUCUCUCUGAACUGUGACCCUUUUGGCCCCUCUGAGUACCAGGUGGGACAAGGUGACCCCUCAGCACUUGAGUUUACACCUUAGAUGUGUAGGUCCUCACAGAGGCCAACUUAUCUCCUUCUGGGACCAAAUUCCAAAUUCCUAAAGAAAAAACAAACCAAAAACGGAUAUGAUAAACCUAUCUCAGUGGUCAGCCCCUGGGGCGCAAACAUUCCCCUGAGUCAGGGAAGGGUGACUGUAACACAGGUAUCAUUAUGAUUUAGGUGUGGCAAGACUAGCAGGUCAGGGGUGCCUGCCAUUGAAAAGACUGUCAUACAGUUCCCAGGUGGAAGGGGUGUGCCAGGAGGGGCAGCCAGAAGGCAGAUGGAGGGAAGCUGCCUUUAUGGUGUUUCUGCUGGGAGGCACAGGUGCGGUGGAGGAAGCAGGCUUAGGAUUGGUUCGUGUGAAUGUCUUCAGUGGGCUCUGGUUAUCUGGUACCUGGCCCGGGGUGAUGAGGGUAGAUAGAGGCCCAGAAGGUGAGAGCCUAAUACCCAGAGCGGUCGGGGGGGUGGGUAGGCUCAGGGCUGGUUGGUUUGGGAAGCAUGUUUGUGGGCCCGUUGGUUACCGUCUCAAGGAAUGGGCUAGGCCUGGGUGUGGCUGUCCUUCUAGGAUCAGCAAGGCAGCAAAUAUCAAAGCACCAGAAUACACAAAGUAAAAGACUGCAUUAAUACAGGGUAGUUUACAAAGAAAUGGGAAAUUGUUGGUUCUGAGCUGGGUGGGGAUUGAAACGGUGUUCCCUGCAGAUCCAUUUAAAGUCUCUCUGUAAAUACGCGUUGGUGUGUAACUGUUCCUUGUCUCUAACCUCAGCCAGCCCCUCCCAUGCCAGGUGAGGGGUCUUCCCACCUCCCUUUUCCUCUCUGGGUGUCCCUCCAUUAUGAUCUGGGGACCAAGGCUGGCUGUAGCAGUGUGCCUCCAUGGCCUAGGGCGGUUGGCAAAUGCAAUUUCUUCGGCAGUGCUGGAUAAAGUGGGAUGAUGCAGUGACCACACAGAAUGUCAUUUCUGAUGAAAGCUGGCAUGCCAGCCCGUGACAGGACACAGAGGAGCGUGGAUUCCCCUUCAUGGUUGACUUCAGCCAAGGCCAUCAUCCCCGCUGCCAAAGCCUGCCCUGAUUGCCUGCCCUGGGGGAGAGAAGUGUUUUGAAGAUGACAAAUCAAAGUCAGGUCCUGCAUGGAGUUUGCGUGCCUGACAGCCUGGCUAGCACAGGAGGACAUGCAGGUGGAAUUUGUGCAAGCCUGUUAUUUUCUGUAACACAAUACACACUGAGAAGGCAAUGGGUACCUUGGACCCUGCAGGCCAAUUCAAGCACCAUCACUACUUUUCAGAAGUGUGGGGCAUAGAUGUCAACUGAGCCUAGCAAGAUGUCCUAUGUUACCAAGAGACUAUUAGAAAGCAGAGCAGGUCUCAAGAUUCAAUGAAACAAUUGCCUGGAAGCUGGAAGAUAAUAUGGAAGCUAGGGAUAUAAUAGAGUAUGUUGCUGGGAACGGUGGCUCCUGCCUGUAAUCGCAGCACUUUGGGAGGCUGAGGUAGGGGGGAUCACUUGAGCCCAGGAGUUGGAGGCCAGCCUGGGCAACACAGCAAGACCCCAUUUCUAUAAAUAAUUAAAAAAAAAAUUAGCUGGGUGUUGUGGUGCAUGCCUGUAUUCUUAACUACUCCAGAGGCUGAGGUGGGAGGAUGGCUUGAGUCCAGAAGUUCAAGGUUACAGUGAACUACGAUUGAGCCACACUGCAUUCCAGCUGGGUAACAGAGGGAGACUCUGUCUCUAAAAAAAAAAAUUAAAAAAAAAGUAGGGUGGGUGGUUGAGGGUUGUGCAGUGUGAGUGAGGGUGGCCAGAAAAACCAUUUCCGUGACAGUUACAAAGGCUGUGUGUGGAUGGUGACGCUGAGGUUUUAUCUUCAAGUGAGUUGUGCAUAUGAGGUUUGUUUGAUUCUAAAGCAUUUAUUUUCUAAAUGCAAACUUUUAGAAUAAAGUCUAGUUCCUGUUGCUCUAUUUUGGCAUAGGUUUUUAAUGUUUCAUAUACUUAGAACUUCAAAAUGGUGGUGGUUGGGGUCUGUCUUCUUACCUGCUGGAGGCCCUGCCAGGUGCUAGCCAGAAGCAGUCAUUAUUGCUUAGGCAGUCGUUGUGGGAGGCUGGGUGUGGCUCUCGCGGAGCCAGAAUGAAGGAUAGCAACUCAUUAACACACACACACCCACCCCUAAACACACACGUGCACCUACACACAGCUGGGAGUCCUAAGGAAGAGACCACACCUUUUUUGUUUUUUGCUUUUUUACCACCUUCAUUAUGAGUCUAAAGUCAAUUCAAUUAACCAGCUAUUUGAAAUUUUUACAUCUAACAGGAGCUGAGAAGAUCCAGUGGGUUAUUGGUUAGAAUAGCUGGUGGGGCUGGUGGGUCGGGGUAGGUGAGAGGAGGGAAGGGUGAUGUGGAGGAUGGACUGGGGUGUUUGCUGCAAGGUGGGUAGCUGAGGGUUGGUUCAGGUGUUUGGCAUUGGUUGGGAUCCAAUAGCUGUUGUCUGAGAGUCUGCUCGUCAUCUCUUCCUGCUGAGGCUGGUGGGACUGAACUGACCUUCAUAUCUCAGCGAUGAGUCCUGUAGACUGCAGGCUCCACGGCAGUUGCAGCUCCCAGGGCUUCAGAUUGGAGCUGCCUGUGACAUGCAGAGGUGGAAGCACAGCCUCAGCUGUGGUGGACGGCAGCCUCUUUCAGCCCCCAGGUGCAUAACAAAGGCUGUCUUGAUUGUAUCUGUGAGAGUGCCAUGAUUUGGGGUUUUCUCUGUCGGUUUGGACCAGAUCAGAAAGCAAUUGGGACUAUUGGUAAGAAAAGCCAAUCUGUCUAUUCUUGGUGUGGGGACACUUGAGCUGGUUCUCAGCAGUGCAAAUAAUAGCUAGAUGAAUAAGCAUUGAGCUGCUGUCUGAUGCAGAAUGAAAAUCAGAUUUCCAUCAUGAGGAACAGGAAUUUUUUUCAUUUCUCCCCCAGAGCAGAGAGUGUAGGUCCACCUCAGUGAGUGGCUAAUCCAUGUCCUGGGAGGCCGACUUCCAGGGUUUCUCUCUCAGAUAGAGAGAGACAGGUUUUAGGUCUCUAGAGU
rnacentral:lncRNA from 10 species